rnacentral:rRNA from 1 species
UUCAACACUGAAAGAUCUUUUCCUUUGUGCUGGCUUUGACCGUAUGUAAUUUUGGGACUUUAAAAUGGUUCGCAAGGGCCGGUCCCAAAAACAAUAUAUCAUCCUUAUGAAAUUUUUUCUGAACAAUUAAACAAAUGAUUUUAAUAAUCUGUUUAAAACAACUUUCAACAACGGAUCUCUUGGUUCUCGCAUCGAUGAAGAACGCAGCGAAAUGCGAUACGUAAUGUGAAUUGCAGAAUUCAGUGAAUCAUCGAAUCUUUGAACGCACAUUGCACUCCUUGGUAUUCCGAGGAGUAUGCCUGUUUCAGUAUCAUGAGCACUCUCACACCUAACCUUUGGGUUUAUGGCGUGGAAUUGGAAUGCGCCGACUGUCAUGGUUGGCCCUUCUAAAAUGUAGUUCUUGGCUGUCACCUAAUACAGCAGUUUGUUCUAAUAGUUUUGGCAUUCAUUGUCAAAUCUUUGGCUAACAUUUGCUCCAGGAGUCAGUCUUGAUAAUACAGAAAACUCAUUCAAAUUUUGAUCUGAAAUCAGGUAGGGCUACCCGCUGAACUUAAGCAUAUCAAUAAGCGGAGGA